rnacentral:rRNA from 1 species
UACGGAGGGGGCUAGCGUUGUUCGGAAUCAUUGGGCGUAAAGGGCGCGUAGGCGGCCGAUCAAGUCGGAGGUGAAAUCCCUCGGCUCAACUGAGGAAUUGCCUUCGAUACUGUUCGGCUUGAGUCCUGGAGAGGGUAGCGGAAUUCCUGGUGUAGCGGUGGAAUGCGCAGAUAUCAGGAGGAACACCGAUGGCGAAGGCAGCUCGCUGGGACGGUACUGACGCUGAGGCGCGAAAGCGUGGGGAGCGAACAGG